UGGUGGGUUGCCUUGUCAGGUUGAUUCCGGUAACGAACGAGACCUCAGCCUGCUAAAUAGCCACGAUCGGCUCGCCCGGUCGGCCGGCUUCUUAGAGGGACUAUCGGCGACUAGCCGACGGAAGUGUGAGGCAAUAACA
rnacentral:rRNA from 1 species